rnacentral:lncRNA from 1 species
GGUUUUUAAUUUUAUUACUCUGAUGUUAAAACAGAUUCAAGAUCUUCAUUGUUAUAAACCUUCUAGAAGGAAAGGUUGAGGACGGUUCCAAGAGGUUAGAGCAGUUGUAGUGUUAUAACCCCACUACCGCCAUAAAAGCAAAAGAGAAAUAGAAAGAACGAGAGCCAACUCUUCAAGAAUUAGCGACUUUAAGUUCGAAAACUUGUCAACCGAAAUUGCAAAAAACAAUCAUUCUGGCUCAGUUACAACCAUUGUUAUGGGGCAAUUGCUUUGGUAAAGAGGAGAUAAUGGAAAACUCUCCAACAGAAGAUGAGUCAUCCACUACCCUGUAAGUCCUAUGUUUGAUUAACUUCUCAAUUGAAGUUUUCAAUUUCUCCCAUUAUUGAUGGACUGGUGUUGUAUGUUAUGGAUGAGUGUGGAGGAGAAAUUUAGGAUUGUGAGGAGUGUAGGUGAAGAGUGUAAGUAGGAAGAUGAACUCCUGAAUCUUGUAAUCAAGAAGCCCCAACCCACUUGCUAUGAAGCCUUCAAACAUUCUUGCAGAAUGCAUAUUGCACGGGUAGUGAUGGAUCUUCCUCCUUAUAAAAUUAACCCUAAGAGAAUGAAAGGUUUGCAUCAAUCUGUUGAAAUGGGAGAGGAGUUUAGGCGAUUAUUAGCAAAAUCUCAACAAGAAUUUCUAGAAAGUGCGAUGGGAAUUAGAGGAAAAGGACAAUUUAAUGUGGUGGAGCUAAUUCGCAAGUCUUUAUUUCCUGCAACUGCAUAUGAUCUUUGUAUCAAGCUGAAGGAAAAAAAGAAUUCUUGCAAAACCGACUCAUAAUGCUACUAUUGGGACCUCCUUGCUAAUCUUGAAUACUCAUUGCUUGUGGCCUGAAGUCAUAAGUGAUUUAGUCAUAACUGUACACGGUAAUGUUCAUGUCCUGCUCAAGCUCAAAAUUUUAGGGAUUCACUUGCAGAAGCAAAAUCUGAUAUUGUAGUGAAGGUGUUCUUUUUAUCUUUUUUUUUUUUUUUUUUU